GCCACCCUCUUUUGUGCCGGCACACAGCAUGUUGGGUGUGAUCUUCCCUGGGUAGACUUGGCGACACUCUUCAUCUGAGCGUAGCUGGAUGUUGGCACAUUUUUUCCCAGCCACUGACCCCUCAGACCAUCUGUGAGGGCGCAUACCCUGGGGGCUGGUGGUGGUGCCCCAGCCAGACACCCGACAGCAGGUGCCAGCAGGGAGACAGUUGUUGUGGGAGAGGGGCAGGACACGGAUGUGGUUCGUGGGCUGGACCGGGGACUGCAGCUCCAGAAGCAUGAUGUCAUGGUCGUGGUUCAGGAGUUGCCAUCUUCCAUGUAAUGGAGAUGAGUCAAGGCAAAGAGGUGAUGAUGUCCUUUUCCGUAUAAGUGCUAAUUCCACUGGGGGUUCACAGAGUUCAUAGAACAAGGCUCUGGGUAUUAAGAGCAGGAACUGUGUCUGUUGUACAGCACCCAGCACAAUGCCCCAUGCUCAACAGCUGUCAGUUAAAUGGAUGGUUGGAUGGACCUACGGACAUAAGGGUGGAUGGAUGAUGAUGCCUGGAUGGGGUUUCCAGAGAAGUUGGCUGCAAAAAGGCGCUUAAACGUGAAAAGGAAUCUUUGGGACUGACUCACGGUGGAACCAGGUUUGGGGUCACCCCAAGGAUUGAAGGAAGAACAAACUAAAAUGUUCUGGAAGGCGCUGAGAAUGAA